UGGGGAAUAUUGCACAAUGGGGGAAACCCUGAUGCAGCGACGCCGCGUGAAGGAAGAAGUAUCUCGGUAUGUAAACUUCUAUCAGCAGGGAAGAUAUGACGGUACCUGACUAAGAAGCCCCGGCUAACUACGUGCCAGCAGCCGCGGUAAUACGUAGGGGGCAAGCGUUAUCCGGAUUUACUGGGUGUAAAGGGAGCGUAGACGGCACAGCAAGUCUGAAGUGAAAUCCCCGGGGCUCAACCCGGGAACUGCUUUGGAAACUGUUGGGCUAGAGUGCUGGAGAGGCAAGCGGAAUUCCUAGUGUAGCGGUGAAAUGCGUAGAUAUUUGGAAGAACACCGAUGGCGAAGGCAGCCUCCUGGGAUAAUACUGACGCUCAUGCACGAAAGCGUGGGGAGCAAACAGGAUUAGAUACCC
rnacentral:rRNA from 1 species